AUUGAACGCUGGCGGAAUGCUUUACACAUGCAAGUCGAACGGUAGAGGGGGCAACCCCUCGAGAGUGGCGAACGGGUGAGUAAUAUAUCGGAACGUGCCCAGUCGUGGGGGAUAACGUAGCGAAAGUUACGCUAAUACCGCAUACGAUCUAAGGAUGAAAGCGGGGGAUCGCAAGACCUCGCGCGAUUGGAGCGGCCGAUAUCAGAUUAGGUAGUUGGUGGGGUAAAGGCUCACCAAGCCAACGAUCUGUAGCUGGUCUGAGAGGACGACCAGCCACACUGGAACUGAGACACGGUCCAGACUCCUACGGGAGGCAGCAGUGGGGAAUUUCGGACAAUGGACGCAAGUCUGAUCCAGCCAUUCCGCGUGCAGGAUGAAGGCCCUCGGGUUGUAAACUGCUUUUGUACGGAACGAAAAGGUUUCUCUUAAUACGGGGGACUCAUGACGGUACCGUAAGAAUAAGCACCGGCUAACUACGUGCCAGCCGCCGCCGUAAUAC
rnacentral:rRNA from 1 species